rnacentral:rRNA from 1 species
UACGUAGGUGGCAAGCGUUGUCCGGAAUUAUUGGGCGUAAAGCGCGCGCAGGCGGUCCUUUAAGUCUGAUGUGAAAGCCCACGGCUCAACCGUGGAGGGUCAUUGGAAACUGGGGGACUUGAGUGCAGGAGAGAAGAGUGGAAUUCCACGUGUAGCGGUGAAAUGCGUAGAGAUGUGGAGGAACACCCGUGGGGAAGGCGACUUUUUGGCCUGUAACUGACGCUGAGGCGCGAAAGCGUGGGGAGCAAACAGG